rnacentral:rRNA from 1 species
ACGCUGGCGGCAGGCCUAACACAUGCAAGUCGAGCGGAAACACAAGGAGCUUGCUCCUGAGGUGUCGAGCGGCGGACGGGUGAGUAAUACCUAGGUAUCUGCCCAAUCGUGGGGGAUAACAGUUGGAAACGACUGCUAAUACCGCAUACGCCCUACGGGGGAAAGGAGGGGACCUUCGGGCCUUCCGCGAUUGGAUGAACCUAGGCGGGAUUAGCUAGUUGGUGAGGUAAUGGCUCACCAAGGCGACGAUCCCUAGCUGGUCUGAGAGGAUGAUCAGCCACACUGGAACUGAGACACGGUCCAAACUCCUACGGGAGGCAGCAGUGGGGAAUAUUGGACAAUGGGGGCAACCCUGAUCCAGCCAUGCCGCGUGUGUGAAGAAGGCCCUCGGGUUGUAAAGCACUUUCAGCGAGGAAGAACGCCUAGCGGUUAAUACCCGCUAGGAAAGACAUCACUCGCAGAAGAAGCACCGGCUAACUCCGUGCCAGCAGCCGCGGUAAUACGGAGGGUGCAGGCGUUAUCGGAAUUACUGGGCGUAAAGCGCGCGUAGGUGGCUUGAUAAGCCGGUUGUGAAAGCCCCGGGCUCAACCUGGGAACGGCAUCCGGAACUGUCAAGCUAGAGUGCAGGAGAGGAAGGUAGAAUUCCCGGCGUAGCGGUGAAAUGCGUAGAGAUCGGGAGGAAUACCAGUGGCGAAGGCGGCUUCUGGACUGACACUGACACUGAGGUGCGAAAGCGUGGGUAGCAAACAGGAGUUAGAUACCCUGGUAGUCCCCGCCGUAAACGAUGUCGACCAGCCGUUGGGUGCUAGCGCACUUUGUGGCGAAGUUAACGCGAUAAGUCGACCGCCUGGGGAGUACGGCCGCAAGGUAAAACUCAAAUGAAUGACG